GAACGCUGGCGGCAGGCCUAACACAUGCCAGUCGAGCGGAUGAAGGGAGCUUGCUCCUGGAUUCAGCGGCGGACGGGUGAGUAAUGCCUAGGAAUCUGCCUGGUAGUGGGGGAUAACGUCCGGAAACGGGCGCUAAUACCGCAUACGUCCUGAGGGAGAAAGUGGGGGAUCUUCGGACCUCACGCUAUCAGAUGAGCCUAGGUCGGAUUAGCUAGUUGGUGGGGUAAAGGCCUACCAAGGCGACGAUCCGUAACUGGUCUGAGAGGAUGAUCAGUCACACUGGAACUGAGACACGGUCCAGACUCCUACGGGAGGCAGCAGUGGGGAAUAUUGGACAAAGGGCGAAAGCCUGAUCCAGCCAUGCCGCGUGUGUGAAGAAGGUCUUCGGAUUGUAAAGCACUUUAAGUUGGGAGGAAGGGCAGUAAGUUAAUACCUUGCUGUUUUGACGUUACCAACAGAAUAAGCACCGGCUAACUUCGUG
rnacentral:rRNA from 1 species